rnacentral:rRNA from 1 species
GAUGAACGCUGGCGGCGUGCCUAAUACAUGCAAGUCGAGCGAACAGACGAGGAGCUUGCUCCUCUGACGUUAGCGGCGGACGGGUGAGUAACACGUGGAUAACCUACCUAUAAGACUGGGAUAACUUCGGGAAACCGGAGCUAAUACCGGAUAAUAUAUUGAACCGCAUGGUUCAAUAGUGAAAGACGGUUUUGCUGUCACUUAUAGAUGGAUCCGCGCCGCAUUAGCUAGUUGGUAAGGUAACGGCUUACCAAGGCAACGAUGCGUAGCCGACCUGAGAGGGUGAUCGGCCACACUGGAACUGAGACACGGUCCAGACUCCUACGGGAGGCAGCAGUAGGGAAUCUUCCGCAAUGGGCGAAAGCCUGACGGAGCAACGCCGCGUGGGUGAUGAAGGUCUUCGGAUCGUAAAACUCUGUUAUUAGGGAAGAACAAAUGUUUAAGUAAAUAUGCACGUCUUGACGGUACCUAAUCAGAAAGCCACGGCUAACUACGUG